rnacentral:rRNA from 1 species
AUACGGAGGGCGCGAACGUUGCUCGGAAUCAUUGGGCGUAAAGCGCACGUAGGCGGCCUGAUAAGUCGGAUGUGAAAGCCCACGGCUUAACCGUGGAAGUGCAUUCGAAACUGUCAGGCUUGAGUAUGGGAGAGGGUUGCGGAGUUCCCGGUGUAGAGGUGAAAUUCGUAGAUAUCGGGAGGAACACCAGCGGUGAAGGCGGCAGCCUGGACCAAUACUGACGCUGAGGUGCGAAAGCGUGGGGAGCAAACAGGAUUAGAUACCCCAGUAGUCC